AACCCCGCCCUAUUCGAAACGGACCAAUCGGAGCGCACGUUUAGGGCAACGUCGCAACAUGGUGUCCCUCUCUGUACAGCAAGUUUCAGAGAAGUUCAGCUGCGAGACUGAUGUGUUUACAGAGACGGAGAUUAGUUUAUCAUUUCCUGGAGUCACUUGAAUACAAGUACGGGACAGAUGUCACCGAUUGAGCCGGCCCCCCUCCCACUGCCCCGCCUCUUCCCCUCCCUAUCAAAGGCCUGGGACUGCUGGAGUACACAUCAAUCAUUCUGAGUGACAGGUAGGAGUGUGUGUGACAUUGUGGGAACAUGUAUAGUGUGUGUUCAAACACAAGAAUUCCUCUGUCCAGAUAAAGGCACUUUAUCUGCUGCUGUCUGCCUGGUCAGACAUUAUUUACUACUGCCCAUCCCCGCACACACUCCUUCUUUUAAAGAGGACAAAAUUGAGCUUCUCUCUCCUUCAUUCUUUUUUAAAGUACCAUCCUUUUCUCUUUUUUCCUUACCUGUGUAUCUUGUAUUUUAGAUCUACAUUAAAAUGCACAUUUUCUUGACAAAUGCUUUCUUGUCAAAAGACCAUGCUUUGUUUUGAAUUCAAAUUUACCUUAUGAAAUUAAUCAUACAUGAACAAUUUGUAUUUGUAAUUUUAUGACGUU